UACGGAGGGUGCAAGCGUUAUCCGGAAUCACUGGGUUUAAAGGGUGCGUAGGCGGGUUAUUAAGUCAGUGGUGAAAGCUGGUCGCUCAACGAUCAAAUUGCCAUUGAUACUGAUAGUCUUGAAUUGAGUUGAGGUUAGCGGAAUGUGACAUGUAGCGGUGAAAUGCGUAGAUAUGUCAUGGAACACCAAUUGCGAAGGCAGCUAGCUAGGCUUAUAUUGACGCUGAGGCACGAAAGCGUGGGUAGCGAACAGG
rnacentral:rRNA from 1 species